GCCUGGGUGGCUCAGUUGUUAAGCAUCUGACUUUGGCUCAGGUCAUGAUUUCACGGUUCAUGAAUUCAUCAUGUGAGUUCGAGUCCCGCUUCAGGUA
rnacentral:tRNA from 1 species